rnacentral:rRNA from 1 species
CCUACGGGGGGCAGCAGUGAGGAAUAUUGGUCAAUGGACGAGAGUCUGAACCAGCCACGUAGCGUGAAGGAUGACUGCCCUAUGGGUUGUAAACUUCUUUUAUAUGGGAAUAAAACGUUCCACGUGUGGGAUUUUGUAUGUACCAUAUGAAUAAGGAUCGGCUAACUCCGUGCCAGCAGCCGCGGUAAUACGGAGGAUCCGAGCGUUAUCCGGAUUUAUUGGGUUUAAAGGGAGCGUAGGUGGAUUGUUAAGUCAGUUGUGAAAGUUUGCGGCUCAACCGUAAAAUUGCAGUUGAAACUGGCAGUCUUGAGUACAGUAGAGGUAGGCGGAAUUCGUGGUGUAGCGGUGAAAUGCUUAGAUAUCACGAAGAACUCCGAUUGCGAAGGCAGUUCACUGGACUGCAACUGACACUGAGGCUCGAAAGUGUGGGUAUCAAACAGGAUUAGAUACCCUUGUAGUC